rnacentral:hammerhead_ribozyme from 1 species
UUACUGCUGAGGAGUCCCACACUAGGACGAAACAGCCGUCCAGUGU